rnacentral:rRNA from 1 species
UACGGAGGGAGCUAGCGUUAUUCGGAAUUACUGGGCGUAAAGCGCACGUAGGCGGCUUUGUAAGUUAGAGGUGAAAGCCUGGAGCUCAACUCCAGAAUUGCCUUUAAGACUGCAUCGCUUGAAUCCAGGAGAGGUGAGUGGAAUUCCGAGUGUAGAGGUGAAAUUCGUAGAUAUUCGCAAGAACACCAGUGGCGAAGGCGGCUCACUGGCCCGAUACUGACGCUGAGGCGCGAAAGCGUGGGGAGCAAACAGG